CCGCACACCAGUGAAUACGCCCUAAAGUAAUAAUGGAGCAGGUAUCAGGCACGACCUUCAGCCCAAAACACCUAGCCACGCCACACCCCCACGGGAACUCAGCAGUGAUAAACAUUAGGCCAUGAGUAAACACCUAACAAAGCUCGACCUAGUUAUAAUAUUUAGGGCCGGCCAACCUCGUGCCAGCCGCCGCGGUUAUACGAGGGGCCCAAACCAGCACCCAACGGCGUAAAUUGUGACUAGAAUGAUUAGCUGCCCAUAAAGGGAAAAACCAAAGCCUAGCCGUAAAACCCAGGUAAAAUGAAUCCCCUUUACCCACAGCAAUUUGAACUCACGAAAGCUAAGAAACAAACUAGGAUUAGAUACCCUACUAUGCUUAGACAUAAACAAGACCUUUACUAACGAAAAGUCCGCCCGAGAACUACAAGCGAAAAGCUUGAAACUCAAAAGACUUGGCGGUGCCCCACACCCGACUUAGAGGAGCCUGUCCUAUAAUCGAUAAUCCACGAUAAACCCAACCGCCCUUUGCCCCACCAGCCUAUAUACCGCCGUCGCAAACCUACCUCACAAGAGGAAAAACGUAGGUUAAAUAGUCUAACACUAAAACGUCAGGUCAAGGUGUAGCUAAUAAGGCGGAAGAGAUGGGCUACAUUCUUUAAAACUAAAGAACACGAAAAGAACUAUGAAACACCCUCCCAAAGGCGAAUUUAACAGUAAAACUGGCAAG
rnacentral:rRNA from 1 species